rnacentral:piRNA from 1 species
UUAAAUCAGAUACUAGGUAAAUUGGUGUGU